rnacentral:rRNA from 1 species
ACGCUCGACACCUACGGGAGGCAGCAGUGGGGAAUAUUGGGCAAUGGGCGCAAGCCUGACCCAGCAACGCCGCGUGAAGGAAGAAGGCCCUCGGGUUGUAAACUUCUUUUGACAGGGACGAAACAAAUGACGGUACCUGUCGAAUAAGCCACGGCUAACUACGUGCUAGCAGCCGCGGUAAUCUGAGCGGGCUGGCAAGGC